rnacentral:rRNA from 1 species
CCUACGGGAGGCAGCAGUGGGGAAUUUUGGACAAUGGGCGCAAGCCUGAUCCAGCAAUGCCGCGUGCAGGAUGAAGGCCUUCGGGUUGUAAACUGCUUUUGUACGGAACGAAACGGUGAGCUCUAAUACAGUUUGCUAAUGACGGUACCGUAAGAAUAAGCACCGGCUAACUACGUGCCAGCAGCCGCGGUAAUACGUAGGGUGCGAGCGUUAAUCGGGAUUACUGGGCGUAAAGCGUGCGCAGGCGGUGAUGUAAGGCAGAUGUGAAAUGCCCGGGCUCAACCUGGGACCUGCAUUUGUGACUGCAUCGCUAGAGUACGGUAGAGGGGGAUGGAAUUCCGCGUGUAGCAGUGAAAUGCGUAGAUAUGCGGAGGAACACCGAUGGCGAAGGCAAUCCCCUGGACCUGUACUGACGCUCAUGCACGAAAGCGUGGGGAGCAAACAGGAUUAGAUACCCUGGUAGUCCACGCCCUAAACGAUGUCAACUGGUUGUUGGGUCUUCACUGACUCAGUAACGAAGCUAACGCGUGAAGUUGACCGCCUGGGGAGUACGGCCGCAGGUUGAAACUCAAAUGAAUUGAGGCUGAGAGNGCGACGGCGACGACGAGGGGAGGUAGG